AUGGCGGGUGCGGCGAAGGCGUCAUGGACGGUGGCGAUGAGCGUGGGCGCCGUGGAGGCGCUCAAGGACCAGGCCGGGCUCUGCCGCUGGAACUACGCGCUCAAGUCCAUCCACAGGACCGCCAAGGCCAGAGUAAAUGUCCACGGUGGCGCCUCACAGAGCACGAAGCAGCUUCCGGCGUCUGCUGCAGCGGUGGCGGAGAGGCGGCGAGCGGAGAAGGCCGAGGAGGGGCUGAGGACCGUCAUGUACCUCGGUUGCUGGGGUCCCAAUUGUUAG
rnacentral:rRNA from 1 species